CUAGAGGCCGACUGGAGGGACAAGAGAGAUUUUGUUCGUUAGACUUGUUCGACGACUCGUUUGGCUUAUAGACGUUGAAAAUUGUGACGGUUUUUGGGCCCGAAGCUAACGGCGGCGGCGGCGGCGGUUGACAGAAAAUGUCAUUACCAUCCUCAUGCCAAAUACCUCAACAAGAAUCGAAAGAUCUAGCGGAGAAGGGAAGCAGAGCCACUCAAUCUUGAGGUCACGCCUGGAAAACUCAUACGAACAAUAUACAACACUGGCUUCUUCCUAUACCAAAAAUUGAGGCUCAUCGACACCGGCACUACAAUUCACGCGUAAACUAGAUAAAAAGAGCUCUCAUCAAGAAAAAACUUUAAGUUUCCAGAAUUUCCAUAGUUACGAGCAUUACAAUGCCUCACGAGACUUCUGUCGAGGCUUAUCUGCAUAUAGUACACACAUUGGUUAAAGGAUGACUGAUAAGUCGUAUCUAUUCGUAGCAGACGGACGCUUCGCGCACUCUGUCAUCGCGAGAGAGAGAGAGAGAGAGAGAGGAUGCCCCGGUCUUCUCUGGGAUGGGGAGCUUUUUUUAGAAAAAUUCCGAAGCUGUAAAUUAUAAAUGCUGCUGUCGGCGAUUCCACGAUGGAAUAUUUGCAAGGAGAGAGCGGGCGCAACAUUGUCUUAACUUUACAUCAUUAUAUACGCGAGCAUAAUUCAAGCGGAUAUAAAAUUUGUAUUUAUCGGUUAAUAAAAUGUUGAUAAAGCUUGAGGCUGCAAUAA